UACGUAGGGGGCAAGCGUUGUCCGGAUUUAUUGGGCGUAAAGAGUGUGUAGGCGGCCAUACAGGUCAGCUGUGAAAACUCGAGGCUCAACCUCGAGACGUCGGUUGAAACCGUUUGGCUAGAGUCCGGAAGAGGAGAGUGGAAUUCCCGGUGUAGCGGUGAAAUGCGCAGAUAUCGGGAAGAACACCCGUGGCGAAGGCGGCUCUCUGGGACGGUACUGACGCUGAGACGCGAAAGCGUGGGGAGCGAACAGG
rnacentral:rRNA from 1 species